GGUGGUGGUGACAUUUGCAGUGGGCUCUGAGGUCGGCCUGCAGAGCAGCAGUGACUUCAGUCAGAUGGGGAAACCUUUCCUAAUGGGCACCGUGGCUCUAGGGGGGAUUGUGAAUGUGAUGCCUCUUCUUUUUUCUCACAUCUCACACAACAAAACACAGAUCCUUUGGUUUCGGAGAGCAGUUCUUGGAGGCCUGGCUACCUGUACAGUCCUCAACAUUCUCUGGUAAAAGGACAACAGUAGAAAUCUAUCUAGUUGUUAUUCAAACACAGAUGCAACUUCUAAUCUAAUGUGUUAAAAUGCUAGAAAUGUGUUAAAAACACUGAAAUAAGCGGAUGAAAUGUGGUUGAGUGCAAGGAUUGUGAGAUCUGUGUUGCGAACUGAAAGCACAGAAACAGGUAGUGCUAAAGAAAAGCUUCUUCCUGCAGUUUUUCAGCUUUCCUCAGGAUCAGUCAACCACCAAACACCCAGAGUGUUUAACAACUAAA